AAUACAUGCAAGUCGAGCGGACGAUUCAACAUCUUGCUUUUGAAUCGUUAGCGGCGGACGGGUGAGUAACACGUGGGCAACCUGCCCUGUAGACGGGGAUAACACCGAGAAAUCGGUGCUAAUACCGGAUAACACGGAAGACCGCAUGGUUUUUCGUUGAAAGGCGGCGCAAGCUGUCGCUACAGGAUGGGCCCGCGGCGCAUUAGCUAGUUGGUGAGGUAACGGCUCACCAAGGCGACGAUGCGUAGCCGACCUGAGAGGGUGAUCGGCCACACUGGGACUGAGACACGGCCCAGACUCCUACGGGAGGCAGCAGUAGGGAAUCUUCCGCAAUGGACGAAAGUCUGACGGAGCAACGCCGCGUGAGCGAAGAAGGCCUUCGGGUCGUAAAGCUCUGUUGUUAGGGAAGAACAAGUACCGCAGUCACUGGCGGUACCUUGACGGUACCUAACGAGAAAGCCACGGCUAACUACGUGCCAGCAGCCGCGGUAAUACGUAGGUGGCAAGCGUUGUCCGGAAUUAUUGGGCGUAAAGCGCGCGCAGGCGGUUCCUUAAGUCUGAUGUGAAAGCCCACGGCUCAACCGUGGAGGGUCAUUGGAAACUGGGGGACUUGAGUGCAGAAGAGGAGAGCGGAAUUCCACGUGUAGCGGUGAAAUGCGUAGAGAUGUGGAGGAACACCAGUGGCGAAGGCGGCUCUCUGGUCCUGUAACUGACGCUGAGGCGCGAA
rnacentral:rRNA from 1 species